rnacentral:rRNA from 1 species
CCUACGGGCGGCAGCAGUAGGGAAUUUUGCGCAAUGGGGGAAACCCUGACGCAGCAACGCCGCGUGAUCGAUGAAGCCCUUCGGGGUGUAAAGACCUGUCAGUGGGGACGAAACCUGACGGUACCCACACAGGAAGCACCGGCUAACUCCGGGCCAGCAGCCGCGGUAAUACGGGGGGUGCAAGCGUGGUCCGGAAUCAUUGGGCGUAAAGAGUUCGUAGGGGGCACGUUAAGGCUGGUGUUAAAGGCGGAAGCUCAACUUCCGUAGGGCACUGGAUACUGGCGAGCUUGAUUGCGGUAGAGGUAAAGGGAAUUCCUGGUGUAGCGGUGAAAUGCGUAGAUAUCAGGAGGAACAUCGGUGGCGAAGGCGCUUUACUGGGCCGAAAUUGACGCUGAGGAACGAAAGCCUGGGGAGCAAAUGGGAUUAGAUACCCGAGUAGUC